rnacentral:lncRNA from 1 species
UGAUCACUAAUUGAGAAAAUGCCUUCCAGCUGAAUCUCAUGGAGGCAUUUCCUCAACUGAAGCUCCUUUCUCUGUGAUAACUCCAGCUGUGUCAAGUUGACACACAAAACCAGCCAGUACACUACCUUUAUAACUUAUGAUGUAUUUCUUUAUUCAUGCAUAUCUAAAUGUACAUGGAUGCAAUGCUAUAACACUAUCCCAUAAGUGAGAGUAGGAAUUUAUUUCUAAUGUGUUUGCAAAACAGCUGGUGUGUCCAACUGGAACAUUUAUUUUUACUGUGAUUGAAUUUUUUCUUUUUAAAAAUGAAAAUAGAUUGGGAGGGCAUAAAAUGUAUUUGAAUUAUGGUUGCCAUUCCCCCCAUUUCCUUCCAGAUUCUCCCAUCCUCCCAAAUUCAUAUCCUUUCCUGACUUCUCAUUAGAAAACAAAUAGGUAUCUUUUUAAAAGAUCAUAAGAAAUUAUGUUAAAAUAAAAACAAGCAAACCUGAAUAGGACAGCAAAUGAGCAGAGAAACAAAGUGCCAAAGAAACAGCUUUGAGAAACACAUAGAUGUAGAGACACACACAUUAGCACAUGCAGAAGUCCCCUAAAACACCAAAUCGAAAGCCACAGUAUGUAUGCUAUAGACCUGUCAGGUAAGUGGGAAAGGUGGGCGUGGGGGAUACUAUGUAAGGUGCAUAAUUGUUCCCAGCUGUCCUCUAAGGUAAAGUCCUUAGCAUCAACAAAUCUUAUUUCAUCCUGUUGACUUGAAUGCUGGUUCUGCAGUUAUGUCCCCUUUCUUCCUUAUCCCUUUGUAUAGGACAAAGAGAAAGGCAAAAGUGUGUUUACCAAAUGUUAUCUUCUAAAGACUAUAUUUUUUUCCUACUGUAGACACCUCAGGGUAUGCCUUGAACAAAAGUGGAAAAAUGUGGUAGGUUGGUGUAAAAGGUUUAAAAAUGAGGCUGAGUCUGUUCUGUCAGUGGAGAUGGCAAUCAUCACAGCGGGAAUAGAACGUAUAGAAUGUUGAAAGUUCACAUCUUCUGAUGCAAACUUGAAGCAGAGAGAGAAAACUGAAGCUGUUGACAGUCUAAGCUCUCAAAGCCUGCAUCCAGUGACAUUCUUCCUCCAACAAUGCCACAUUUUCUAAACCUCUCCCAAAUAUCUCCACCAGCUGGGGACAAAGUGCUCCAAUACAUGAGCCUUUGGAGGACAUCCUCGUUCAAACAACCACACGUGCAUUGCAUGAACUUUCCCGUGUGAGGACAGAUAGAAAGUGCAUCAGCCGUCUUGUAGUAGGAAGGAUUAGCUACCUACUCCUCACUCUUACCAUUCUGUGAUUUGGAUACUGUAGGAGACAGUCCUGAAAUGUCCUCUGUCUCCUACUAGACAUAGCUCUUGGCACUGGGGACUACUAUAUUGUAUUUGGUAAAGGCUGUUAAUGCCACAUAAAUCUCAAAUGCAAAGAUGUUUGAUACUGAAGGAGUUAUCUGCACUUUGCUGAAAAAUAGUGAAAGCAGAAUAGUUCAUCAUGCUAAAUAUAGAGUUAAUUGUAGAACAAGAACAUUUUUAGUCAAAGCAUAAUGUAUAAGGAUGAUAUCAGACUGCUAUGGUGAUAUGAAUCUAUUCAAAACUCAGUAUUCGCCGGGUAGUGGUGGUGCACACCUUUAAUCCCAGCACUCAGGAGGCAGAGGCAGGCGGA